rnacentral:rRNA from 1 species
AACGUAGGAGGCGAGCGUUAUCCGGAGUUACUGGGCGUAAAGCGUCUGUAGGUGGCCUUUUGCGUCUGAUGUGAAAGCUCCUGGCUAAACUGGGAGAGCGCGUCGGAUACGGGAAGGCUCGAGUGCAGCAGAGGAGCGUAGAAUUCCGGGUGUAGUGGUGAAAUGCGCAGAUAUCAGGAGGAACACCGAUGGCGAAGGCAGGUCUCUGGGCCGAUACUGACGCUGAGGAGCGAAAGCGUGGGGAGCGAACAGG